rnacentral:misc_RNA from 1 species
AUUUUAGGACGAGAAUUACCUUACGCGAUUAUCAGAAUUAAAAAUAAGAAGAGUCCCCCAAAGGCCUUCAUCCGUUAACCAUGCGUAUGUACAGAAACGCAUGAAUCCACAUACAAACAAACACUAUUGCCCGCUCUUGUGGCUAUAAAUAAGAAUGCGCUUGAUAGCCCACAGCUCAUCCUGCAACCAUUUAUCAUCCACAAGACUUACAUUCAAAACAUAACCUCCAAGUUGUCAUUUACAAUGUUAAAAUAUCUUGCUUUUAUGCCAUAACAAGAUUGUGAACCAAGUAAAUUCUACCCAAGGAAAGGAAGAAGUCCUUUCUUCAUGAAAUACACAACAAUUGCAAGUAAAAUUACGAAUAAAAUGAUCCACAAGCUUAAUCCUCCACUUUUGAUCUCCUCAACCGGUGUCACCCUUGCACUUGAGUCCAUGGACGCAGACACCAAAGCCCUUGAAUCAUGAGAGAACGCCAAUGCUGUUACCAUGCCAAGGUGUGCUUUCCUAACCACUGUUUGAACCUGCAUGCUGAUUGAAUUUAUAAUCAGCACGUCUCCUUGAACCGUACCCAUUGCUAGGAACUUUCCAUCAGGUGAGACACUGAAGGAAGAAACUGAAUCACGACUUAUAUUCUUUGAACCAAUUCUCUUCCAUGAGCUUGUGUCCCAUGUCUGAAUAUUUCCACCUUUGCCUGUUAUUGCAGCAAUGUAAAGAACCUGA